rnacentral:rRNA from 1 species
GACGAACGCUGGCGGCACGCCUAACACAUGCAAGUCGAACGGAAACUUCUGCUUUCCUUUGUGGAUUGUGGGUAACCCAGUGGAGACUGCGUGAAGAAUCCGAAUAUGAUCUGGCACCGACUUCGAAAAACGCCUAAGAACCUCGGUCUAAUUACUGAUAGGCCUUGGAGGUGCUGGCGUUGGUUGAGCACGUUGGUAUGGUGGAAGGCUAUGAGCGCGACGCCGAUUAGCUGGUGGGUGGGGUAGUGGCGGACCAAGGCGGCGGAGGGUAGCCUGCGUGAGAGGGUGGACGGCGACAUGGGGACUGAGAGACGGCCCAGACACCUACGGGAGGCAGCAGUGGGGAAGAUUGCACAAUGGGCGGAAGCCUGAUGCAGCGACGCCGCGUGGGGGAUGGCGGCCUUCGGGUUGUAAACUCCUUUCGACCGCGAGGAAGCCACCUGGUUGGAAGGGUGGUGACGGUAGUGGUAGAAGAAGCACCGGCUAACUACGUG